rnacentral:rRNA from 1 species
AAAGUUGUUGCAGUUAAAAAGCUGGUAGUUGAAUUUCGGGGUUCUACCGUUGGUCGGGCAAUAGUCUGUACUGGUGUGUGGAAUUUCUACCUUCUGGGGAACC